rnacentral:ncRNA from 1 species
GCGUGGGUCGGCCCGCUGGAAAGGAAGCAGUGGGCCGAGGGGAGACGCCGUCCCAUCCCCGCGGACGGCGGACCGGUCCGGGAGGUGAACGGCGCCUCCCGGACCGCG